rnacentral:rRNA from 1 species
AUUGAACGCUGGCGGCAUGCCUUACACAUGCAAGUCGAACGGCAGCACGGGAGCAAUCCUGGUGGCGAGUGGCGAACGGGUGAGUAAUGUAUCGGAACGUGCCCAGUCGUGGGGGAUAACGCAGCGAAAGCUGUGCUAAUACCGCAUACGAUCUAUGGAUGAAAGCGGGGGAUCGCAAGACCUCGCGCGACUGGAGCGGCCGAUAUCAGAUUAGCUAGUUGGUGGGGUAAAGGCUCACCAAGGCGACGAUCUGUAGCUGGUCUGAGAGGACGACCAGCCACGCUGGAACUGAGACACGGUCCAGACUCCUACGGGAGGCAGCAGUGGGGAAUUUUGGACAAUGGGCGCAAGCCUGAUCCAGCAAUGCCGCGUGCAGGAUGAAGGCCUUCGGGUUGUAAACUGCUUUUGUACGGAGCGAAAAGGCUCUCUCUAAUACAGGGGGCUCAUGACGGUACCGUAAGAAUAAGCACCGGCUAACUACGUGCCAGCCGCCGCGGUAA